ACCCACAUCCUUGAGUAUGUCUCCUGAGACAUAUGUAGGAGUCUGUCUGGGGUAUAAAUUAGGAUGGAAUUGCCGGAAGUGGAUAUGCGCCUUUGACUUUACCAGGUUGCUUCCAGGCUAUUCUGCACAUGAAAAUUUCCUGUGCCAGAAGCUUGGUGUUCAGUGUGGCAAAGCUGGAAGAUGGAGAACUUUUUAGAGGUCCUGCCUACUGGUAGGUGGUGAAAUCACUAACAGCCGUGCCCUUGGGAUUAACAUAGUUCUUUAGGAACUCACAAGUUCAUUUGUCACAAGUAUGGGUUGUUACAAGAGCCAAGUGAUUCAGCCUUUCUGCAUACUGGAUUCCUUUCUGUUUCUCUGCUAUGAUGGAAUGCAAUGGGGGUGGGGAGCUUUGUCAAAGGCCAAACAGAUAUGAUCACCUGAUCAUGGACUUUUAGCCUCCAAAACUAUACAUUAAAUAAACUUCAUUGUAAAAUGUCCAA